AUGAUGCUGAAGGGGAUUUGUCACCUUUUCUCCAUCUUAAGAUGCCUAGUAAAGGAAAUAGGAUACACUCACAAAAAGAUUAUCAUCAGUGGAGGAAAACAGUUAAUAACAUGUGAUGAUCAAGGCACACUAAAGGAAGACCAGGGAAAAGGUGGGUGUCACAUUAGACCCCCAAUAGAUGUGUGCAAAUCAGAAAAAAGGAAAAGAGAUGUGUCUUUAAAUUUCAGGGUUUGAGCUGCAAUGUUUGCUGACAGGACUAUAAAAGGAGACUAUUUGUCAUGGUGUGGGACUAAACUAUUUCCAAGGCCACCCAGAACAAACUGGAAGGGAUGUCACUCUCAUAUUUCACAGAAAUGCUUGAUAGUCACAAUUUCACACCAGCCAGUUCCCCUCAGAAAGAGCACUUCUUCAUCUGCCUAAUCAAAAUCAUCUAAUCAACCCUCAUCUAAGUGAGGGUGUAAAAAGUGCAUUAUGCAGAUAUGGUCCCUGCCCUCUGGGGGAUUACAAUCUAAAACCUGCAUACCUGGCUCCGACAAGCACAGAGACAUAAUUAACACAGAUAAGGAUGAGAAAUGUAUUUUCUGCAAGCCUCACUGCCAGCAGACAGAACAAUUUGUAGUCAUCACUGAUCUGAGCUGAAUUCAAAUUAGUGACCCAAAGGCUCCACUGUCUGGGUGUUAUUUUCAAUCUCCUUAGCUAUCCAAUCUCCAGAAGUUUCAUUUUUCAUUCUUACUGUGCAGUCAUCAUCAAGUACCAAAGGGAAAGACCGCAAUCCAGACACACUAAAAAUAGCAUUCUUGCCUUCUGAAACCCAGACUCAGAUUUAUGACAGUUUUAAAAUUUGGUUCUUCGUCUUAAAAGUCCAGCGUUCUACAAGAACUGUGCAAAGUAAUACCUACCUGGUCUUUAGAGCAUGAAACACUGUAACUUGAUGCAGUGGGAGAUCAGGCCUUUAUAUAAUCCAUUUACAUUAGGGAGAGAUAGCGUUUUCUUUUGCUUGACAAGUUGACGUGCCUUCAUGUGUUUUCCACUUAAUCAGCAGAAUCAUUAAGGCACUGAAGGUUUUGAUGGUCUCAAUAAAAAACAUCUAUUUCUGUAAAACCUAGCCCUA
rnacentral:lncRNA from 1 species